UACAGAGGUCUCAAGCGUUGUUCGGAUUCAUUGGCGUAAAGGGUGCGUAGGUGGCGCCAUAAGUCAGGUGUGAAAUCUCGGGCUCAACCCGAAACUGCACUUGAUACUGUGGUGCUCGAGUACUGGAGAGGAGAGUUGGAAUUACGGUGUAGCAGUGAAAUGCGUAGAUAUCGUAAGGAAGACCAGUGGCGAAGGCGAUCGUCUGGACAGUUGACUGACACUGAGGCACGAAGGCCAGGGAGCAAACGG
rnacentral:rRNA from 1 species